CGACGAGGAAACCACGCAACAAAAAAGAAGAAGCAGAUUCUGCUCCGCCCCCCCACGAAACCAAAAGGAGAAAAAUCCGGAUCCCCUCGAUAGCCACCCGCGCCCGCCUCCGCCACCGCCACCCUUCCUCGCCUCCGCCAUCGUUCCCCAUCUCAGCCGCCGCCCGCCCUCUGUCCUCGUGUGCUCCGGCGACCCGACCGCCCUUUGUCCUCGCGUGCUCCGGCGACCCGACCACCCGCUAGGGUUCCCCGGCUCUCCAAUCUACAUGGCCAGGGAAGACUAUUACCUCGGUCGCCUGCCGGAUUCGCCUGCAAUGCCACAGAGCUCGCUGCCCCCGACCGGCAUCGCCACCACGGUCUGGGUCUUCCUCUCCCUCUCCCUCUCGAUCCCUUCCUCCUGUCUUCCCGAUCUGUGUUGGCGCGGAGCGCUUCCUCUGCUGGAUCCAACCGCCAUGGCGCUCGCCGCCCCGACCGGCAGGGCCACCGCCGGCGGGGAGUUCUACAGUGGCCCGCUGCACAGACUGAUGCGGCAGCUCACCAAUACUUUAUUAUUAGAAAAUUGCCAACGUCAAUUGUCAUUCAAUUUGUGUAUGUCACAGUUGGUUUUGUUCUCUACCUGGCAUGGAUUCUGAAUUGUUGGUUUAUUGAGACUCACGUUGCUGGGGUUGUUAUUAAGUUUAUACUCAUCUUCAAAUUUGUUUGCUAUAUAUUGAUCUUUUCACCUCAAUGUUGCUUACUCUCUUAUUGACAUUGUUCUUUUCAUUCAUUCAUUACUUCCGGAUUGAUUGAUUGGUGUUGAUUUACUCUAUGCAGUUUAUCUACGUAAGCAAUACUCUGACCCAAAUAAUCAGGUAAAUAACUGCAAGAAGGAGCUAGAGGAGAUGAAGCACAUGACAGAGUUUUUGGAUCCCUCAGAAGGAAGAGCAGAGGUUUUUCAAGAGGUGUGUCCAUUUACAGUGGAGUAACUAGGUAUGCACCUUUUUUCUUCCCGUGGUCGAAAGAAUGAUCAUUUCAUUAUGUGUACAAAUCUAACUAUUUCUGAUAAUCUAUCCGAACUCUGCUUAAAUAAAGGCACCACCAACAUGGGAGAUGGCAUAACUUUCUCUUUAAGUGCAAUCUGCAAUCAAGAAAAAAUAUAAUGUACAUCCUAACAAUUCAAUUGGGUCAGUGUGAUGUGAGAUAGUACAAUCUGAGUUCAUUUUCAGUAUUUGUUUAUGAGCUAAGUUCAGUAAUGUAUAUUGUUGGUUAAUGAGAUCUCUAAGGUUCCACUUGAUUCAAAAUUUUGAAAAAUUUCUACUAAAGACUUGGUUUGAAGCCAUGAGUGAAUUGAUAUCAUGAAGUAGAAUUUCUUAUCAAUGUCUUUCUUUGUGCAGCUUUUUUUCCUUUUCCUUUGCAACGCAUGAGCAUUUCAAUGUGUUGUUAAGUGUUGCCUAGGGUGUCACACAGGUGAAGUUUCUAUUCUUUUCUUUGCGUAUAGUUCUUGUCAAUGAGGUACACCCCGACGCAGCAGUAGCAAAAGCUACCGGCAGAAUGAGGCAGAAUAUCGCCAAACGAAUUGCUCUUUUGCGGCGAAAAUUAAUUUAGUUUUAGAAGCAACAUUUAUCCUGGACAGAUUAAAAUCAAUUUCUCACUCCAAGCCACAGGGUAUGAGGUAUGAGGUACUUUUCUCCAUAUUACAUUUUUUAUUUAAUCCAAUUACCAAAACAAGUUACCUGUAACAAGACCUAUCUAGAUGAGCUAAAGUUUCAAUUACUUAAGCAUGCCCCCUUUUUUGUGAAAGAAGACCAAGAAAUCAUGCUACUAUUAAGUCUUUUUUUGGAAAUAGUUGUACUCAUUGUUUUGAAGGAUAACAGAUGCAGAACAUUUUUCCUUGAGAAAAGCUAAUGGCAUUACCUGUAUCUUGUUGCAGGUUCUCAGAACUGAUGUUGAGGCUGCACUGCAAGUUCUGAAUUUUGCAAAAUAUGUAGCAUAUACAUGAGUUACUCGGGGAUUGUCAUCAAAUAUGUAGCAUAUGUUUCAUAUUACCUUCUCGGCAUUGCUUCGGGACAGUCCAUUGCUAUUGCUAUGUUUCACGUGUCGAUAUAUUAUUUGUUCUCUUCCCACCUUUUGACAAGGCUUGGAAUAUGUACACCCAAAGAGCAAUGUCUUGUUAUCUGAUAUAAUGAGUACGUGUUAAUCUUUUCA